CUUUUGGUGCUGACUGCUUUGAGGACAUUUCACCAGUUUUCUCUGCAUGGCUACUGUUCUGACUUGUCAUUGCAGGUCCCAGAGAUGUGUCAGAGUCUUCUUCGUUCCCCCGCGCAGACCGGCGGGCUCCCCCGCGCCUCACGCCGGGCGCUGCUGCUGCUGCUGCGGCGGCGGCGGCGCUUCCCUCCCCGGCGGCUGCGGCGAGGAACGCGGGCGCUGGCCCGGAGCGGGCCGAGCCGGCGCGGCGGGG